UACGUAGGGGGCAAGCGUUGUUCGGAAUCAUUGGGCGUAAAGAGCGUGUAGGCGGCCCGUUAAGUCCGCUGUGAAAGUCCAGGGCUCAACCCUGGAAUGCCGGUGGAUACUGUCGGGCUCGAGUUCGGAAGAGGUGAGUGGAAUUCCUGGUGUAGCGGUGAAAUGCGCAGAUAUCGGGAGGAACACCAGCGGCGAAGGCGGCACUCUGGGCUGGUACUGACGCUGAGGCGCGAAAGCUAGGGGAGCAAACAGG
rnacentral:rRNA from 1 species